CAGCUAGUUGGUGAGGUAACGGCUCACCAAGGCUAUGAUCGUUAGCUGGUCUGAGAGGAUGGCCAGCCACACUGGAACUGGGACACGGUCCAGACUCCUACGGGAGGCAGCAGUGGGGAAUCUUGCACAAUGGGCGAAAGCCUGAUGCAGCGACGCCGCGUGGGGGAUGAAGCUUUUCGGAGUGUAAACCCCUUUCGACCCGGACGAAUGCCCCGCAAGGGGACUGACGGUACGGGUAUAAGAAGCCCCGGCUAACUACGUGCCAGCAGCCGCGGUAAGACGUAGGGGGCCAGCGUUGCUCGGAAUUACUGGGUGUAAAGGGUUCGUAGGCGGUGCGGCAAGUUGGGAGUGAAAUCUCUGGGCUCAACCCAGAGGCUGCUUCCAAAACUGCUGUGCUUGAGUGUGGGAGAGGCGCGUGGAAUUGCAGGUGUAGCGGUGAAAUGCGUAGAUAUCUGCAGGAACACCCGUGGCGAAAGCGGCGCGCUGGACCACAACUGACGCUGAGGAACGAAAGCUAGGGGAGCAAACAGGAUUAGAUACCCUGGUAGUCCUAGCCCUAAACGAUCAGGACUUGGGGUGCUUCACGUUCGUGGAGCGUCCCGGAGCUAACGCGUUAAGUCCUGCACCUGGGGAGUACGGUCGCAAGAC
rnacentral:rRNA from 1 species